rnacentral:rRNA from 1 species
AUUUUGGACAAUGGGCGCAAGCCUGAUCCAGCCAUGCCGCGUGAGUGAAGAAGGCCUUCGGGUUGUAAAGCUCUUUCGGACGGAAAGAAAUCCCGCAGCCUACUACCCUGCCCGGAUGACGGUACCGCCAUUACAAGCCCCGGCCAACUACGUCCCCGCACCCGCGGUAAUACGUAGGGUCCGAGCGUUCAUCGGAAUUACUGGGCGUAAAGCGUGCGCAGGCGGUUGAUUAAGACAGGCGUGAAAUCCCCGGGCUUAACCUGGGAACUGCGCUUGUGACUGGUCAGCUAGAGUACGGCAGAGGGGGGUGGAAUUCCACGUGUAGCAGUGAAAUGCGUAGAGAUGUGGAGGAACACCGAUGGCGAAGGCAGCCCCCUGGGCCGAUACUGACGCUCAUGCACGAAAGCGUGGGUAGCAAACAGG